rnacentral:rRNA from 1 species
AUACGUAGGGGGCGAGCGUUGUCUGGAAUUACUGGGCGUAAAGGGUGCGUAGGCGGCUUAGUAAGUCAGGUGUGAAAGGCAUGGGCUCAACCCAUGUAAGCACUUGAAACUGCUUAGCUUGAGUUAAGGAGAGGGAAGCGGAAUUCCUGGUGUAGCGGUGAAAUGCGUAGAUAUCAGGAGGAACACCAGUGGCGAAGGCGGCUUCCUGGCCUUGGACUGACGCUGAGGCACGAAAGCGUGGGGAGCAAACAGGAUGAGAUACCCUGGUAGUCCACGCCGUAAACGAUGAGUGCUAGGUGUCGGGGGUGUAAGCCUUCGGUGCCGCAGUUAACACAUUUAGCACUCCGCCUGGGGAGUACGUGCGCAAGCAUGAA